rnacentral:misc_RNA from 1 species
GCAAACUUGGUCAUUUAGAGGAAGUAAAAGUCGUAACAAGGUUUCCGUAGGUGAACCUGCGGAAGGAUCAUUAACGAAUUUGAUUAUAUCUUUUUCUGUGAAUAUUUUCCCUUUGGGAAUUGUGCUUCGGCCCUAGUACUUGUACAAGGGCCGGUAGAAAACUUUUUAAACCUUUGUCUAAAACUAAUUAUACUAAUAAUUAAAACUUUCAACAACGGAUCUCUAGGUUCUCGCAUCGAUGAAGAACGCAGC